CGCCACGCUGCUCCGACGUCUGACGCACUUCCUGUUUGUUGUUGGAGAAACGAAGAGAAAGGAAAGCGCGAGGAGUCGCCGCCGCCACCACCACCACCGCCACCUCCAGCAGCGCCGGAGCCGAGAGGAGACUUCGGGCCUCGCCGCCCAGCCUCUCCUCCUCCCCGCCGCCAGCUGUCAACCUCCCUCGGGACUUGUUACAACAAACUAUUAAAACAUGGUGGAUUACUAUGAAGUUCUAGGUGUGCAGAGACAUGCCUCACCCGAGGAUAUUAAAAAGGCGUAUCGUAAAUUAGCACUUAAGUGGCACCCGGAUAAAAAUCCUGAAAAUAAAGAAGAAGCUGAAAGGAGAUUCAAACAAGUAGCUGAGGCGUAUGAAGUGUUAUCAGAUGCUAAAAAACGAGACAUGUAUGACAAAUAUGGAAAAGAAGGAUUAAAUGGCGGAGGUGGAGGAGGAGGAGGAGGAAGUCAUUUUGAAAAUCCAUUUGAAUAUGGAUUCACAUUCCGGAACCCAGAUGAUGUCUUUAGGGAAUUUUUUGGUGGAAGGGACCCAUUUUCAUUUGACUUCUUUGAAGAUCCAUUUGAGGACUUUUUUGGAAAUCGAAGAGGGACUCGUGGAAACAGAAGCAGAGGUGCAGGACCCUUUUUCUCUGCAUUUGGUGGAUUUCCAGGUUUUGGAAGUGGACUUUCUUCAUUUGAUACAGGAUUUACUUCAUUUGGUUCAGUGGGGCAUGGAGGCCUUUCUUCAUUCUCUUCUACGUCAUUUGGUGGUAGUGGAAUGGGUAACUUCAAAUCCAUAUCAACUACGACUAAAAUAGUAAAUGGCAGAAAAAUCACUACAAAGAGAACUUUUGAGAAUGGUCAAGAAAGAGUAGAAGUUGAAGAAGAUGGCCAGUUAAAGUCCUUAACAAUAAAUGGUGUAGAAGAUCAAGAAGCUUUUGCAGCCGAGUGCAGCCGCAGAGGACAGCCUGCCUUAUCUUUCCAGUCCGGCGUCCGUUCUCAGAAGAGCAAUCGACCUAGUGCUGCUCCCCCCAGACAUGUGCCUCAAAAUGUGCCUCAAAAUAUUUCUGAGGAGGAGGAGCAGGAAAAGCCUCGUGUCAGCAGCAGCUGGGAGUCCCCCAUUUUAUUAGCAGGUGUGCAAAAAAGGGUUGAUAAGGAGGAACCCCCAAGUAAGAAAACUCCUCCUAUUCCUCUGCCCCCCAGAAGUGUACUUGUUGAUAUUUCUAAGGAGCAGAGUAAGGUCACAGGUUCCCAAACCCCUGCAGCAAAGCCACAAAAGUUUGAUAGGAAGAUUCUUCCAGAGGAGGGACACCUUCAUAGAGCCCAAACCGCAGAGAAAGUUCCAACAGUCGGAACCGCAGAGAAAGCCCCAGCAGUCCAAACUACAGAGAAAAUACCAACAGUCCAAACUGCACAGAAAGUCCAAACAGUCCCAACCGCAGAGAAAGUCCCAGCAGUCCCCAAAGUCCAAACCGCAGAGAAAGAUAACACCCAGUGUUGUUGUAUUCUGACCUGACCCAGGCAUGGUGGGUCUGGGGGUGGGGGGGAAGGGUGUUAGGGGAGAUGCCCACACGGGCAGAGUAGCGGAGUGCUAGGUGGCAGGCUUUAGGUGUCCUUGCUCAGCUCUUUCCCUAACUCAGGACACAGACAUCCUUUCAAGUAACUCUUAAUUUCUCCAAGCCUCUGAGUUCCCCCCAUUUCUAAAACCAGUGGGGUGCUAUAUGGUUCUUUCGGUAUGUGUGUGAAGGGUACUGUUAUUCCAGGACAAAAGGUGCUAUACAUAGAACUGCAAAGGGCUGCUUCCCUUUAAACCCCUCAAGCCCCACUCGACAGCAGCUCAUGCCUUAGCGCUUUGGUUCUAACGAACUUCCCCCUGGUCCAUAUGCUGGGCCCAUCCCCUGGAAUUGUGGAAUUGGAAGCAGAUUCUGGUGCUUCAGGUGUGUUUGAAAGUAAGGUCCAACAGGCUCCGUGCAGGUAGAGCAGGUAGAGAACUCUGUAACUGAAAAAAACCCAAACAAACAAACUCCAUGCCUUUUCCUGGUGUCAGUAAAAAGCCAUAGGAUACCUUCAUGCCCUAGUAAAGUGGGAUGCCUCUUAAGUGCCAAAGAAGUGUUGUAUGUAUUUCCUCCACACGCUCGCUGAAGAAGUCAUCCUCUUCCCUCCACCUCCAAAGCAGAGCCCUACAGUAAGAAGGAUUGAGCUAAGGGGGGUGGUGUAUUGUGAACAGGUGUAGAGUAAACAGAGAGAGAGAGGAGAGAAAGAUGAGAGAGAUGUGAGAGGAGAGAGAGAGAGAGAGAGAUGUGAGAGGUGAGAGAGAUAGAUGUGAGAGGUGAGAGAGAGAGAUGUGAGAGGAGAGAGAGAGAGAGAGAGAGAGAGAGAUGUGAGAGGAGAGAGAGAGAGAGAGAGAGAGAGAGAGAGAGGUGAGAGGUGAGAGAGAUGUGAGAGGAGAGAGAGAGAGAGAGAGGUGAGAGGUGAGAGAGAGAGAUGUGAGAGGAGAGAGAGAGAGAGAGAUGUGAGAGGUGAGAGAGAGAUAUGAGAGGUGAGAGAGAGAGAGACAGAGAGAGAGAGAGAGACAGACAGAGAGAGAGAGAGAGAGAGAGAGAGAGAGAGAGAGAGAGAGAGAGAGAGAGAGAGAGAGAGAGAGAUAGGGAGAUAGGUGAGAGAGAGAGAGAGAGAGAGAUAGGGAGAUAGGUGAGAGAGAGAGAGAGAGAGAGAGAGAGAUGUGAGAGGUGAGAGAGAGAGAGUCCUCCUCCUCUAGGGUUGCAGGAGUUACAGAUCCCAUUUGUCAACCUGCUGCCCCUUCAGCUGCACAAUUCUCUGACACCCACAGUUUGGGAGCCAGAAGGGGUGACCAGAUUGCAGAAUGUUACCAGAAUAAUAAUAGCAGAGUGGAGCCAGGAGACUUUGUUCCUAAUAACCUGUGUGACCUGGGACAAGUCACUUAUUUUCUACUGGCCCCAGUUUACUCAUCUGUAACAUAAAGAAGUUGGACAAGACCCCUUGGCCCUAAGGGCCCCUUCCAGAUCUAAUCCUAUGAUCUCCUCAUCAUUAAUUAUGGAGGAAUUUUAAAAGGCUGCUAUAGAAAGAAAAUUGUGAUCCAAGACUUCUAGACAAAUGGAAUUUCAAAUCUGUUUAUAGAGUUGGUGCAUAUCUUCCCUCUCUUAGCUAAUUCCAGUGAGCAUUAUCUAUAGCAGCCCCUACCUCUAUGGGUUCUGUUAGAGACAACCCAUUAAUGGAUUGGGUCUAGAUGCAGACAUUGGGGGAGGAGAGAGAGAGACAGAGAGACAGAGACAGACAGAGACUCUAAUUGUGAAUCGCUGAUUGUAUCCCAAAGCUGAACAUAAAUGAUCAUUUUGCAUUGUCCAUGCUUUCCCUUCUCUUUGUUAACAUAGGUUCAUUAAUUUAAGUAAGUGAGAGAGUUGGCCAGAGUGAGAUCAGAUGGCUAAGCCUGUUAUUUUGGAGGUAUACUGAUAAAAUAUCCACUGGACAAUUUACUUAAGUGGGGCCCCCUCAAACUAUUCCUUUGGUUUUUAAGGAUCAUGGGGUGCCUUGUGGCAGAACUUUCUUCUAAACUUAAUUUUCUUUUUCAAUGCUCAAUACUAAGAACUUGAGGGGAAAUUUUUCAGGCUCUCAAAAGGCAACAUUGGUUUGAAGCUCUGAUCUAGGCAACAAAGAUAUGAGGUCCUGGUCUUUGCUGAUCAGAGGACUUGAUUUUAUAAAGAAACAGCAACUCUUUGUAGUUUUCAUACCCCUGUGAUAAAGUAGGGUACCGUACUUGGCUUUGGCAUUUGUCAAGUGGGAAAACAGCAUGAUGGGAAAAGAAGAAAAGGACUCUGGAUUCAAAUACUGGCUCGGCCAGUUAUUCCAGGGGGUGAUUGUAGGCAAGUCACUUAAUCUUUCUAAACCUCAGUUUUCUUACUUGUGAAAAUUAAGGUAGUCAGAUAGUGCUAGGUAAUUACUAAGUUCCUUUCUGGCUCCAAAUCUAUGAUUUUAGGAUCUCUAAUGCUAAGGAAAAGGUGAGGUUAGUGAUUCUAGGAAUGCUCUGAUCUGGUGAAAAAGCAGAGUGUCUUUGUGUAGUGUUGUGAACAAUAGAUGUGGAAUGCACACUCUGCAAAUGGGACCUGGGUGACCUUGGGCAAGUCACUCUCAGUUUCCUCUUUUCUUAAAUUAGACCAGAUGGCCCCUUCAAGUUCUAAAUCUUCUGGUUCUGUGACCCAUUUUUCUCUAUUUAAAGUUGAAGCUUCAGGGUGAGCAUAACAACCAACAGCAACGUCACAAACAAAACUAGGAUUUUAGAUGGAGAAUUGCCAGCAAAAGCAGAUGGGUGAUUUAGAGGCAUCAGCCCUUUCCUGUGCAAUUGAAUGAAAAAUAGAGGCAAUUGGGGAGCAUUUGUGAAUGCAGAAUAAAUUCACUUCUGAAUUGAAUGAGUUUAGAAAAUUUGCCCAUUUCCAGUACACCCUGGGCCACUGACUGGUUUUGGAGGUUUGGGGGAGAAGGAGGAGAUGUUUUUGGAGGAUGAGGCUGAAGGAUGUAGCAUGGGCACCCUGGAGAAAGUCUUGGGUAUCCCCAGCAAGUACCAUUUGUUAUUUGAUAAGCCAAAUCUGAGAAUGCAAGUUGCUUUGAGUUUGGAGAAUUUGGUAGACACCAAGUACUCUUCAGUAAUUUAAAGGACCUUCGCUUGUGUGUUGGGCAUGCCUCCUUGGUGAGAAAAGAGUUAAUCUUUAACACAAGUGUCCACUACAUUCCUGGAGGAAGGGGGAGGAGAAAAGCUUUUAUAUAGUACCUAAUGUGUGCCUGGCACUGUGCUAAGUGCCUUUAGAAAUAUCUCCUUUUAUCUUCACAGCAUUCCUGCAAUUUAGGUGCUGUCAUCCCCAUUUUACAGCUGAGGAAACUGAGGCAGGGAUUAAGUGACUUGUCCAGGGUCAAACAGCCAGUGUGUGUCCCAGGUGGAAUUUGAACUCUGGUUUUUCUGACUCCAGGCCCAGUGCUUUAUUCACUGCACACCAAACGUCUGAGCCCCAAGUCACCAUUGGCGCAGGAAUAGAUUCAAUAAUCAUACUGUAGAGACAAGGCCCAAGAGCCAUUUCCUUCUUGCAUUCAUGUAAAGCCAAACAUGCUCUUAAAUGCCAAGCCCCAAUUUCAUUGCAUUUCCAAAAUUCUACCAUUUGGUAUUCCCAUCAUGUGGCACACACAUAAGUUUAAUCCCCCUCCUCCAAUGAGUUGGUUUUAUCGUCCCCUUCAACCUCUCCUGAUCAGUCCUUCUUUUCCUUGCUGGGGAGCAAGCCCUUCCCUAGUGAGAGAGCAGGGCUCUGGUUUCCUUCCCCUGGCACAAUGACUUCUGUCCUUGGGGUAUUCGUUGUGCUAAAGAUUCACGGGGUUGAUGAUGUGCAGCCCCUUUCCCGUUAGGUGAUGAUUUUUCAUGAGUGGAGAUGGCCUCCUUCCCCGGAAUUCCCCGAUGGGCCAGCCUUGUCACGAUGCCCUGUCUGGACCCACAGCUCCAACUCACCUGAGCCUCCGCAUCCCCCCACAGUAUCAGAAUAGGACUCAAGGGAUUCUUAAGUGAGAUUUCAUUCUAAGUCCGUCAGUUCUCACCUGGUCAAGCAUCAUUUCUUGGGAAGCGUUUCUUUUGUUGUGGAAAUCUUGUUGGGAAAAGAGGAUGCCACCAAAGGGAGUUUUUGGCAUGCAGUGCUGAGAUUUGUUAAAGGCUAAUCAAGAGGGGACAGGUCAGAGGGCAGCUAUGUUCAUGCUUCAGCAACUUGAAGACUAGUUGCUAAGCGGAUAACUGUGAUAUCAGAGCUCAUGCCACGCAGCCUUGUAGAAGCCCCAGAAGUCUGACUGAGAAAUCAUUUAAUCCUCCAGCCACAGCACAUGCCUGUGUGGGCAGGAGGCACCCGUUGUUUCUAAUGACUGAGAUCGAUAUGCUACAAGUUAUCUUUCCCUUUGUUUUAUUUUUUAAAUGGUGUUGUGUUCUCAUGAGCAAUUAUGGUCCAUCUCGUCCCAGUUACAUUUCUUUAAGGAUAAAAAUCAGAGUCCUGCGUUGGUUUCUACUUAAUGGAAUAAUUUUAGGGUGCCAAGAGCAUGGACUGUAUUGUAAAGACAAUGGGGUGCUAAAGCCCGGUGCAGGUUUGACCCAUUGGUCCUUGCCCCUAUUUACAUUUAAUCUCCAUUUGAACGUUUCUUUAAAAUUCAGCCGCAUUGUUCCAAAUGGCCAAAGUGAUUGUGUCACUUAAAAACUGUUAUCUUGGAAAGAGAAUUCAUUUCACAGAAUUCAUGUCCUGGGAAGGACGAACGAUUGGCUUCUCCUGAGACUGACAAAUUCCAAACAUGUUAUAAGACUUUGGAGAAAAAGAGAACCCUGUAAAGGAAGUCUCUUAAGUCCUUUGGACAGCGAAUGUGGUUGAGAAGUUUGUAUACCGAAAAGCAUUGUGCUUUUUCUUUUCUUUUUUUUUUAAGCACUUAACUUGCCCACGAAUGCUACUGAGUGUUUUGUUAUUGCGAUGACCGACACUGCAUUCAGCAUGGAGCUUGUAAAACUAAUCAUUCAUAGUUAACUUCACUUUCAGCUUGUCAUCCUCCGUACCCUUCCUUUUCAUAUAACUAGCUUAACAUCUGUGUAUUUUAUUACUUGUGUUUUUUAGUGAAGAUUUACAGCCUUAAAAAAAAAAGCCACAAAGAACUGUUGUAUGAACGCAGAUCUUUUACUAAUUUGUUAAAAAAAACCAUUUGAAUGAGAGUGCUGUGGGGACCUUUUGCAUCUUAACCCUCUCCAGCUUCCUACCUCUUGACCCCGUGCAUGGAGAGGGGAAGGAGGGCAAGCUAAACCUCGGGGAAGCAGAUAGGGAAGGCCCUCUUAGCGGUGUGUGCUUUACAGCAGCCCCCUGGCGGCCUGUGAAUGCGCCCCGGACGGCAGAACAGCCGGGCUUGCAUCCUCUUUAGUCUUUGGGUCACUCGUUUCUCGCAGCCCCUCCAAGUCCUCAUCUGUAAGCUGAGAGCGUUUCUAGCUUUACAUCUGCUGGCCUUGGAAGGCAUCCAGGUAAAGCAGGAGGAUCCACGGACCCAAGGGGGUCUCUAGAUAGAUUUUCGGAGGCGUCUUUAUUUUCACUCCCCUCCAGCUGAUGUGUAGCAUUUCCUUCAGUUCUUACAAAGGUUCCUCUCAAAAGUCUCUAUGGUCUUCCCCAGACUGCCACAGGGCUCCAUGAUUCCUAAAAAGAUUAGGAACGCCUGUAGGUUAAACCCGGCAGACAGUGCGGUCCUGUUCCCUAAGUGAGUGUGAAUAAUUGAGAGCCGUCCAUGAGGAUGAGGCUAGUCAUGAAACACAAAUUCCCGAGCAAGGCUGUAGGGUGACUCGAUUAUGGGGAAGGCACGUCCGGGGACCUGCUCUGUGUCUCCCUGAGGCAGGACGUGAUGACAAGCUCUGGGGACAGCGGCGCGAUUCACUUAGACCUCCAGGACGGUUUAGAAGCUAAUCAUGCCGGGCCCAGUUUCCCUUGCCAGGCUUCUGUCCUGUGCUCUUUAACCGGUCUGGAGCUGCUUGCCUGGCCCAUGGAACGAGGCGUUUGUGGGCUCUAAGAAGGGUUUGCAAAUGCCCUGCAUUUCUACUACCCACAAACACCUUGGAGUCUUUACUCUAACACACGCUGAGUGCCGUGGUCAGCUGAAUUUCAUAGCAUUAAAAAUGUUCAUUGAUUUAUUUUUUGAAAAUUUCUCAUUAAGCCUCUUCUCUCUAAAGUGCUGCACCCUAGACAGCUGCCUCCUUUGCCUGCCGGAGCCUGGGAUUUGCUCCCACUUUUAUUCUCUAUUGGUCAGGCAGUGAUUUAUCUGGGUGCCUUUUCCUAGGACUUCUCCAAAGCUCCUGAGGGCACGUAAAUGUUCCAUUUAAAAUUAAUUUUUGGAGUUGCUGGUAGGUCAGUGGCUUGAGAGCCAGGCCUUAGAGAGGGGAGGUCCUGGGUUCAAAUCUGGCCCCAGGCACUUCCUAGUUGUGACCCUAGGAAAAUCGCUUAACCUCCAUUGCCUAACCUUUACCGCUCUUUCACCUUGGAUCCAGGACACAGCAUUGAUUCUAAGAUGGAAGGCAAGGGAUAUAAGAGGGAAAAAGAAAUGAAUUCUACUUCUCUCUCCUGGCUGCUUCCAACAAUAAGUUCAAGGCCAGCGAGAACCUUGUGUUUACUAAUUAGCAGCCUUACCAGUGUCUGGGAGGUAGUCAUCCUCCUCACCCAGGUCAUGCCCUGUGUGAGCCUUUGAAUCCCUGAUUAAAAACCCAAGUGGUGUUUUUGGAGGGCCACUUGGACAGGCAUUUUUUCCCCCCAACAUUCUGCCAAGAACUAAAAAGCAAGACUCUUAACUUACUCUUUGCCCCAAGGCAGGUGGCCCCUCUGCUAGAGCAUCUUGUUCCCUCUCCAUCAAUGGCCCAUGGAAAGGGGGAGGAGCUCCAGUUGAGGGAAAGAUGGCUAGAAAGCCCUUUGGGGGGGAUAAUUUUCCCUUUGUUUUUCCAGUUCCCUCCGCUUCUAGACUUCCCUUCAGAUCACCAAGCUCCAGUCACCACAGACAUUUCCAGGAGGCUUCUGUGAGAAACCCUAUUCAUUCACAUGGUCAUUACUGGCAUGAAUGGAGUUGAUUACUCUUCCCUCCUUGCCUGACCCAGUGCCGGGUACAUAGCAGGCACUCAAUAAAUGUUUAUUGGCUGCCUGGCAGAAGCAGCCUGUGAGAGGAGCCAUCGAGUGCCUUUCUACCCCCAAGAAGGGAGCUUCUUCUUCCUCUUCUUUUUCUGUUGCCUCUCUGCCCCCUGGUAGCUGAGCUAGUGAGUAUGAAAUCACAAGAGGUAGUUUUAGGGGAAAAUACAUUUUUAAUCCCUGUUAAUUCCCAGUGGAGAAUGGGAAAGGGGGGAAUGUAAAAAGGCCUACUUUGUGGUAGAACUCAUGGGUUUUGUUGUAAAAAGGGUGGUUUUAAUAAGCACAUCUUUUUAUUAAACAAAUAAGGGAGAGGAGAAAACUUGCAAUGAGCAGGAUACGAACAAGAUGUGGGAGAAAAAAUGCCCUACAAACAUUUCUCAUGUUUCUUGUGAACAGUUGCAUCUUUGAAGGGAAGGCUUUUAAGAGAGAGAAGAUAGUGAUACCCUGGUAUGUGGCCCUUAAAUGAUGUGACCCAAAGGCUUGUAAAGUGAAGAAAGUCUGGGCGACUUAAGUUCAAAUCCCACCCUCUGUGAUGAUGGGAAAGUUAUAGCUUUAAAAGUUUCUUUUGCAUCCUUGAGGGCCUUUAGUUAAUUAUGAUUUUCCUCCCCACCUAGUAAGAAUCCAGGGCCUUGUAUCUAGUAAGAUUUUUCUCCCCCUAGAAAGUGGAGGAAAAAAGAAAGAGUUCAAAAUGAAUUUGCAUACAAUUGGCAUAUACACACCUGGCACUCAAAUGAUAGUUUUUGCUACUUUUAUUGUAUCUUUCUUGCCCAUCUCUUCCAUCUUUUUCCUUAACUGGUCUGGAUUCCCCCAUAUCACCAAACCCAGAUUAGGUUAGGGAUAACAAGAGCCAGAAAUCUUUGUUGUGUCUCUUGAGGUUCACAGUCCACCCCUUAGAUUAUAACCCUUUAUAAUACUUAAGAUUUACAGAAUACUUUCUUCACCAGAGUCAUGUGGAGAGUCAGUAGUAAAAUUAUUAACUUCAUGGCAGUUCAGUGGAUCCAGAACCAGGUCUAGUGAUGCAUGUGAGUUCUUGGAUUCAAAGCUGGCCUCAGACACUUUCAAGCUAUGUGAUCCUAGCCAAGUCACUUAAUUCCUAUUGCCUAGCCUUUAUAGCAGCUCUCUCUUCUAUCUUGGAGCCAAUACAUAAUAUUGAUUCUAAGAUAUAAAAUAAAGGCUUAAAAAUAAUUGUUAAUGACUCUUAGUUUUGAGCCAAAAUUCAAAGGAAUUGGGUUACCUAAGUAGAAAGUGUCACAACUGGAAUUUGAACCCUGGGUUCCUGAAUUAGAUUAACCAGAGAGGAAGAAAAGAAAGAAUCAAGCAUUUUUUCAGCAUCCCUUCUGUGUCAAGCAUUUGGGCAUACAAAUAUAGACAAAAAGAUAGUCCUUGCCUUCAAAGAGCUUAUGUUUUAAUGGGAGAAGACACCCCUCAAAAGGGAGCUGAAAGUGGGGUGGGGGCACCCCAAAUGGUUUUGAAGUCUGGGGAGAAUUUCUUAGGCUCUCUGAUAGAAACUCCCUUGGGAGGAUGGGGGACAGGGACACAGAAAGAACUUCUUAGAUUGAUGGAGGAGAGAGCGCCAUUGAAGCCAUACUUUUUUCAACCACGAAUGAUUUGCUCUCCACCAUGAUAGUCAGGUAGGCGACUUGCUUCAUGCUGUGAUGUCUUCAUAACAUGCUUCUGGAAUGACUUUGAAAUGGUGAAUUAAGAGGACGGGGAUCAUCCAUUUCCACUCCAUGUCCACAUACCCCACAGGACAAGCUGAGGGACCAACGCUCUCUUUCCCAAGCAAGCUCUCUGCCUCAGCUAGUUAUUUCGUCCAUCCUUAUUUGUGGAAGGAGAUCAAGUGAGACCUGCUCUCUGUCUUGGAUUGCUCCUUCUGCUGGCAAGCUGUGGCUUUUAGUCUCCGUCUAACGCUGGCCCACGUAGCGGCACGUUGGUGCCAUGGCGGGAUCUUGGCAGGGAACUGGAACAUUUGCUUCGUUUUCAAACCUGUGGGGGCCUCCAAACCAUUGGGCAUAUUGAAUGGUCAGAACAUUUGUCAAGAGUAAGGGCGUCUUUUCAUUGGGCUAUGGAAAGGAGCGAGUUAAGAAAGCUUUGAAUUUUUCAGGGCCCCGAGGCCAGGUCUGUCCCAGCAAAAUAAGAGAACCAUUGGCAGACUUGUAGGACAACAGUAUAAAAUUGGAUGGGAAUUGGAGAUUGUCUUGAGGGUUGUUGUUUUAACCUGGAAGUGUCACGUCUGAAGCUUGAUGCUGAUGUGGAAAGGAGGAGGAAUAAUCAACAAAUCCCCAUGUGGUGCUUUGGUUAAGCUUUCAUUUAGAAGGCUAGUGGCUGGUUUUAAGUAAAAACCUUUUACCUCGUCGCUCAACCAAGGCUGAAUAUGCUUGAAUUUAGCAUGGAUGAGCCAAGGUGGGCAAGCCCUGACGUGGAAAUGAUUAGGCGGGUGCCCUUGUUGAAAUAUGUCAGUCUUCGCCUGUGUGAGAGCUGUACCCCUUCACAGGCCAGGCUAGGAGACAGGGCCAUGCAGGCUAGUCUUGUGAACUAAGACAAAGAAGUGAGGCCUUCGGGUAAAUGUGAAGCCUCGAUUGGACUGCUGUUGAGUGGGCAUCUCUGGCAUGGUAGCGUUCUAUGUCAUUCUAUUUUGAGAGUUUGUGAAAAAGCAAAUGUUCAGACAGCCCAUCUAUUUCAGCCAGCUUUAGUCCGGUUUUGUGACUUCUUUUAGGUUUAGUUCAUUCGUGGAGGAAGGGUUUGUGCCUUGUAAAAUGCAGGCUGGUGGUGACCCUGCCUUAUUACGGGUUUCCUGUGUUAGAUUCCCAUUCAGGAAAUUCAGCUUGAGUUCCUCCUCUUGCCUAAAUUCAGCAUCAGGCCCAUCCAUCUGCCAAGCCUAUUUUGUAGCUGGAAGCUCCUUCUACCAGAGUGACAACAGAUUAAAGGACAGCGUACCUUGACCCCUUUGGCUAGAGCUUCAGAGCAUAAGUGCAUGCAGCCAUGCGGUGCCAUGAAUGAUUCUUCUUUUGUUUUUAGCAGGCAGCUCUGACAGGCAAAAUCCUGACUUGGAGCAUGGGAGACUUAAAAGGUGAAAAAUUCUUGGCCAGGUCAGAGUUUGGGGUUCUUGUUCUAAUGGAGAACAUCCUAACGUCACAAUGAGCCCAGGCUUCAUUCAGCAAACCAUUUCCCCAAAGAGGGGACCCAGAGAAAGUAACUUCCUUGUUGGAAAACUCCAAUGCAAUCCAGUGUGAUCACCUGGAUAAAUAGCACUGCUAAUAAGUCAGGUUACCAGGGAAGUAAUUGAGGUUCCCCCGAACUGGAAAGUGUGGAGAAGCUUUUAGGGGGAUUAUAGAACAAUCUAUAGAUAGAUUGAUAGGUUGCCUCUAUGUCAAAUUCGAAGGGUUUUGAAGACCUUUGAAUGGUUUCUUCUAGUAUUAAGAGGUUUUCAACCUAUAUUUUUUUUAAAAAACAACUGAAUUUAGAUUUGUUUUAUUUGUUAUUGGGUUGAUCAAGGGAACCUCCUAAUCUGCUGGCCUGAGGCACUUCACACAAAACUAUGAUUCAUGCACAUCCUCUAGUUAUAAAUGCUUAUAAAUUUGGUAAUAAGCCUCCAGAUCCAUUUUUAUUUAUAAUGUAAGGAUAUAAAGACCCAGCCAGGAGCCCUAACCAAGAGCUGCUGGUGGUACGUGACCUCUAGUAAAGGACCAAUGGAUGAGCCCUUCCCCGAAGAGCCAAAAGGUCCAUGCCCAGCUCCCCCCACCAAUGGGGGAUUCCCCUGAUCACCCCUGUGUACGGAGGUUCUAAAGGUAGAAACAUUGCAAGUGAAGAUACUAGUCUGUGUGUGUGUCUUAAGUGGGGUAUGUAGAACUAUUUGCCUCUUAAAGAGGAAAUGCAGUUAAUAUCUGAACAGUGUUUUACAAGCCAUAUUUCCUCAGGACACAAAGAAGGUGGCAAGAGGAAGAAACAGAAA